UGGGGAAUCUUGCACAAUGGGCGAAAGCCUGAUGCAGCGACGCCGCGUGGGGGACGAAUGCCCUCGGGUUGUAAACCCCUUUCGGCAGGGAAGAAGCGCAAGUGACGGUACCUGCAGAAGAAGCUCCGGCUAACUACGUGCCAGCAGCCGCGGAAAGACGUAGGGAGCGAGCGUUGUCCGGAUUCAUUGGGCGUAAAGCGCGCGUAGGCGGUUUGGCAAGUCGGAUGUGAAAUCCCGAGGCUCAACCUCGUGACUGCAUCCGAUACUGCCCGACUAGAGGUAGGUAGGGGAGAUCGGAAUUCCUGGUGUAGCGGUGAAAUGCGCAGAUAUCAGGAGGAACACCGGUGGCGAAGGCGGAUCUCUGGGCCUUACCUGACGCUCAGGCGCGAAAGCUAGGGGAGCAA
rnacentral:rRNA from 1 species